GAUAUGAAUUGGGACCUGAGUCAGUGGUGUCCCCUUAUAUAUACUUUUUUCCCAAAGUUGCUAAACUUGUACACUUUGUUAAAGCUAAAAGUACACUUUAUGUUGUAGGCAGAUAAUGAGUUGCGUCUUGUACCUGGUGAUGAGUUGCGGCUACGCUAUUUAGGAGAUGCAACUCAUGCGGCAGUCAGUAGGGCAUGUGGUAAGCACUUUUUUUUAAUAUAAUUUGUUAUUUCUUUUGCUUGUCAUCUUUAGUUUUUGAUUUUGUUUUAAUUUCUCUUGGUUAAUUUUUCCAUUGAGAAGUUUUCAUAUAAAAUGUUGUCCUCACCCCACCUCGCCUCACCAUUUGCUGUCCAAACACCGCCUACUGGUGUUUCAGCCUCAGCUGCGAAGAACAAGGGGAUGGAUAAUUACAAACAGGGGAAGUAUGCUGAUGCCAUAAAGUGGCUUUCUUGGGCUGUGAUUCUUCUUGAGAAGACUUGUGAUGGUGCUAACCCUUGAACAAAUCAACUUGGCUGAUGUCAAGUACCCACUGGAGCAUUUUAAGAACAUCCUUGUUGUCUCAAAGUAUUACUGAAGGAUUAUCUUGGCGAGACUUGCUGAGCUGCUUUGUCUCAUUGUUUAGGUGACUUCCAAAAACGAUCAAGCACAAGGCUGAUGCUUCAAAACCAUAUAUAUUCCUUCCUGUUUUAGAAUUUUUUUUGGAUUCCUUCAUUGAUUUUGCUUUUAAUUUUUGUUCAAUUACUUACUGGUUUUCAAUAGAUGGAUAUUUAAAACUUGUCUCAAUUAAUGUUUUGAAUGGAAUGAUUGUAAAGUUUGGGAUUGAGCAGGAAAAUAUGAUGAAUUUUAAUGUUAUAUUUAGGUUGGGUUGAA